AAAGAAGGCACCCUCCACUGUUUGUCUGGGUUCACGAAGACCUCCCCCAGUUCACUUUCUCCUUCUUUUCCAAUCCAUCAUCUCAAAACAAAAAAUUCCCUCAAAAUUCACCACAUACACACACACACGAAAAUACACAAAAAUUAGAAACUUAACAAUGAAAAAUUGCUUCCAAAUCUGAAAUAUAAUGGUUUAAAAAAUAAAAGAAAGAGAAGAGAAUAAAGAGAAAUCUAUGAAUGAUGUGGUUUAAGUUGUUGCUUCGUUCACUAUGGCUGCUGCUUUCAUCGUGUAGAAUGGUGGCUUUUGUUCGGCUCUUCACUUUUGUAGAUUAGCUCAUAUGUGUUCAUUGUUUAAAGAGGAGUCCGACUCAAAUCGAUGUUCGAUUAUCUGUGCUUUUGCUCUCGCUUGUCUGCUGGUGUUGCUUGUUGAAAUUCUGGGAUCCAUAUCCGUGUAUUUGUUGAUUAAAUGCUAGAAUUUUAAUGAAAAGAUUGGGUAUAGAGAAAACU
rnacentral:lncRNA from 1 species